rnacentral:tmRNA from 1 species
CGUUAAGGAACUGAGAGAAAAAAUGCCAACAUCUGCAAUAACUUAGUGUUAUAAUGUUGUAAUCAAAAACAAUGCGAUUUAUAAAUGAAAAUUUUGAGGAGGAUGAAAGAUGGCUACUGUGUUCAUGGAGGAUACUGGAUUUAAAUUAGCCAAUAUUGUUUUGUCCCAGAAAAAAUCAUUUACAUUAGACGACCUUUUGAUUCAAGCCCAAAAUAUUGGACUAGAAGAAAAUGAGGUAACAUUAAAAAGAUCUUUGAGUCGCUUGUGUGAUAUCGGAAUAAUAAUUAAGCAUGGAUCAUUAUACUCAGUAUCGCUUAAUGAUUUGUAAGCCUUAUUGGUCACAUUACAUAGUAAUGUGACCAAUAGUCAUUUUAAGAACUACUUAAUCUCAGCUAGGCGCUACCAGUCCAUCGCCCAUGUGGCAUGACUAGCCUCAACUUUAGUGGGAUACGCCGGAGGCUUCCGCCUGGAGCCGAAGGAAGAAGAUCAAUCAGGCUAGGUAACGGGUCAGCGCGUCACUCCGCGAAUCCGGUACCGAAAUUUAAAUGAGUGACUGCGCUCGGAGAUGCUCAUGUAUCGCUGUUUUCGGACGGGGGUUCGAAUCCCCCCGCCUCCACCA